CCUAGUCACGCUCUGACCUAAACACCAUAGAGAACCGAGGGCUCUCUAAUCUCAGGAAGAAGCUCCCAACACGAGGAAGAGGAUGAGGUGAAGAGGGAGUAAUAAGAUCACUAGAAAGCAGCAUGCUGCCAAACCACCACAAGACCCUAGAGGUGAUGCUGCAUGCUGUGACAAGGGCCUGGAGGGUGACACACAUCUGCUUCAAGCUGCAUGCCUGAAUACUGGGACCUUCAGUAGUACCUUCCCUUUGAUUACAGCAAGAGUCUUCUUAUCUCUGUCUUGUAGCCAUUUAACAUGUAGUGUGUGUAACAACUCAAAUUCAUAGAAACUACUAUGAACACAAUAACUGACUUAUAUUCACUUGUCCCUGGCUGCGUUUGGACAGGCACAGUGGCGACCUGUCAUUCAGGGCAGGUUGGGCAGAGCCUGUUUGAGCCCCACCUGUUUGACUUUUUGCCUGUUUUGCAUGUUAUUUUGGCAUUAAUCCGUGUCACUUAUGAGUUUGCAAACAAUGUAAAAAAAUGUAAAAAAUCAAUAAAGCUGUAUAC